rnacentral:lncRNA from 1 species
AGAGAGUUCUUCAUAAGUAUGCGGCGGUUGCUGCGACCCUCGAUUCGCAAAUCUCGGAUCGGGGGCGUGACAAGAAGUGACCAAUAGAACCAUCCUCCAGGGCCUGAAAUGGAGAUUGGGUAGAGUAAAAGGAGCAUGGGUCGACGAGCUUUAUCAUAUGCUGUAGGCCAUAUCGGACAACAUCAAGGGUACCAAUGGGGGAAAACCCUUUUAGCCUCUCUUUCAAAAUUGAAGUGGUAGUCCCUAU